AUGAACAUCGCUCUCAUGCUACGCUGGGUCUGGCAGAUCUUGCGUGAAGAGGGUGGUCUGUGGCUGCAGCUUAUCCAAGCCAAAUACCUACGGGGUGCGCCUCUAUUGGCGUGCUCCCGCCCAGAUGGAUCCCAGUUCUGGAAAUGCAUCCAUAAGAUUAAGAACGAGAUAUGCCUUGGGGUCACCUUUGUAUUUGGCAAUGGGAAUGGUACUCUGUUCUGGCUCGACCCUUGGAUGGGCAAUGAGCCACUGCAUACCAAUUCCCUAGAUUAUUUGCGAUCUAUACUGACCUAUCUAUCCUAG
rnacentral:rRNA from 1 species